GUAAAAAUAUUUUACUAAAAACUUACAGAAUAUUUACAAACAUUCCAAAAUAAAUUAAUUUUACCAAAAAAAGUCUUACAUUUGCAAAAAAUACUGAAUAAAUCAAGUCACUUUAAAGCAAUCAAAAUAUUGAGCCUAAUAUUUUUAUUACUUCUUUAUACACAUUUUCUAUUAAACUCCCUUUAAACCAAUAUUUUAUGAACUAAAAGAAAUAUUGGAAUAAAAAAAUUACAGUAUUGAAACAUAGAUAGUUCCUAAAAAUGCUCGUUAAAUAUUUAACAACUUUGUUUUAUUUUCUUUACAAAUACUUACACCAGAUUAUUUUUAUAUAUUUUUGUAUGUCAUGGAUGUCUCUAUUUAAGUUAAUAACAUUGAUUUAUAUUAAGUUAUAAAUAACAGUCUAUUCAAUAAAAGCCAAUCCACUAUGUAACAAGUCGGUUUCUGACCUCCAUGGGAGCCUCGUUCAGCAACUAUCGAGACUGUUGCUCUGAUUGGCUCCAUCUUCACACAUAUUCAAAAGUUUUGCAUCACUUUGUUUUAGUGUGAAAGAACUUUUCGAGGAAACAUCUUCAUUCAUUUUUUGGGGACUUGUUUGUCAAUGUUUUUCAUUGUAAAUCAUGACAUAUUUGCAAUACAAAAAUGUCUACUACAAGAAUAGCCUUUUCAAUGUGAUUAUUCUUAAGGCUAUUAUAUAUAAUUAUAAAAUAUUAUAUAUUGUUAAAUUCUAAAAAUGUAUGAGUUUGUGUAAUUGAGUUUGACCGUGCAAAAUAGUCGCUCUGGUUGAAAAGGAUCAUUUUCAAAGUUCCGUGGUUGAUAGAGUUGGUGUUUGGCAAAGUGAUGUGUCUCGAAUAUGGAAUUGCUAUCUCCAGACCAAUUCACUGAGCGAUUACCCAUGAAAGCGUAUUACCAGUCAAUGGCGUAUUACCAAUCAACAGCAUAUUCGCUAACAUAACUAUACAGCAAAAUCCUACUAUGGCAAUGUCAUCCUACAAAGAGAUGUGAAACAUGCCUUGGUACUUCGAAUAUUGCGAAAUGUUUGGUGUGACGUCGACCAGUUAGCCGAUUGCAAGGACCCAAGAACACGUAGCAUUGUCCGAAGAGUUUUGAAACUUGUCUGCAAUAUAAUUAAUAAUGCAACCUAUUAUUUCAUGUGGUGGAAAUAUACUUUUUAGAGAUUCGUAGUUUACUUUUUAAUGAAAAUUACUUUACUUCUUAUUAGAAUACUCUUUUAUGUUUGAAAGAAAUUAUUAUAAUAAAAAUAAAAUAAAAGAAUCAACUGUAAUUUUCUUCAAUAAAAACGAUCGUAGUGGCUCUGGUCUAGUCUUGAAAAAAAGCAGUUUAUUUUCGAACACUCAGAGUGAUGCAAAACUUUUGAAUUUAUGUGUACGUACUAUAACAAGUUUGCGUACUCAAAUAUAAAGUUGACUAUCUGGCUACUGAAUAGGCUGUGCUUGAAUGCAGAAUUUUCAAACAAAUUAUUCGGUAUUAAAUCUAAAUUGAUAUAUAUUUGUUAAUAAUUUCUAAACAAGAAAUGGUAAGUUUCAUUCGUGGGGGCAGUUGAGGAAUACGUAUUUAAAAUUACUCAGAAUUUCUUAAAAAUUCUGCAUUAAUUUUAUUUUUUUAUUCAAUUCUUUUAUACUGAGGCACAAUCUUAACAUUAUAUACAUCAUUACAUAACUACAUAUUAUACAAAUAGGACUAGAUCUUUUCAUUGAAAUUACAUUACGUAAUAAAUACAAAAAAUAUAUUCAACUUAUGAAUUACAUAUGAUUUGGUAAAAUCUAGCUGAAAAUGGUAAGUAAAUUGAAGUAAUCACGAUCUAAAGAGAAAGUUAAAAUAACAAAUUUAAAUGUCAGUAAUUUUAAAUGUCUUAUUUUGCACAGUUUCUUUGUCUAAUGUCUAAAAAAUGUAAAAUGUAAACUAUUCUUUAAUAAUUCCUAAUACUUUGCUAGAUACUUUUAUAUUAUUUAGAAAAAAAUCAUUAGUAUAAAACAACACAAAUCCAAUCUGUACUUUAAGAAUUAAUAUAUUAUUUUUUUACUACUUCCAAACAGUACAAACUAUAGCAGUAUUGUGGCAGUAUAGUAGUACCCCAGACAGCACAUAAUAUCUUAAAGACGUCUUUUUUAUAUCUUAAUUAGAUCUUAACGUCUAAAGACUAAAAUAAGACAACUUUUGGACAUCAUUUUAAAGAUAUUCAUAAGAUGACGAAAUAAAACAUCUUCAGGACGUCUCUAAAAUGACAUUAGAAAUUAUUAGAAAUUUUAAAUUUAAUUUUUUCUAUUUAUCUCGUUUUUUUUCUAGAGUAGGCGAUAAUCAUAAAAAAGGAGAGUAUAAUCUGGUUUAAUAUAACAGAAAUGUGGUAUAAUCUUAACAGAAAUAAAAACAUUAUCCUCAUAUAAUUUAUAGGCGCAAAUAUGACGAUUGACAGGCGUGACAGUUAUCUUCUGUGGUUGAUGUUGAUGUGAGGUUAUGUGAUCGAGAAUCUCUGGAAAACCUCGCUGAAAAUGUUUGUUCUUGUCGUUGUUGUGAGUUGUAAAAAGGCGCGCAAAACCGUUUGGGAAAGGGACGUGAUAUAAAGUUUCAUCGGAGAAUUUACCAAAAUUUCAUCAUUAAAGCUGAUCAAAGAAGUUAAAGCUGAUAUUGUAGGUAAGCCAGAUGCGCAUGAUAACACAUCUGAAGAUGUCCCUCCAGUGGUUGU